rnacentral:rRNA from 1 species
UACACACCGCCCGUCACACCAUGGGAGUGGGUUGCUCCAGAAGGCGUUAGUCUAACCGCAAGGAGGACGGCGCCCACGGAGUGGUCCAUGACUGGGGUG